rnacentral:lncRNA from 1 species
CUGACAGUAUUUAUUUGAGGCAUUCAGUAGCUCAGCUGUCAGCUGCCUUUAAAAACUAAGCAAGGUGAAUGUUUUGCUUCAAGCAUCACAGUUUGAGGACUGCAAUGCUGAAUGUUACUGUGUGUAACCCCUCUGUGAAGACUUAGAAGGCAAGAUAGGUGUUAUCUCUGCAGCUGGGAGUGCCAGGUCCUUUCGCUGGAUGUUUUCCAGUGACCUUUGGAGUCCCUGCAGGGAGUGAGGGGCCCUAUCUCACGUCACCCGCCAGUGGUUCCAUGAGAGUUGAUGCUGCCCCAUCAGCCUGCCACAUGGUCAGUCUGGCAGUGAAAUCGCUCUGCAGCAGGGUCAACAUGCUGCAGAUGGGUAUUUCAGCACAGUAUUCCAACCUAUACCCCCAAGAUCAUGUCCACAGUACAAACAAGGACUGGUUAGAAAGGAUGAUAAAGCCUAAGCCAUGCUGUACCAUCUUCUUUUUAAAAAUCCUUUGAGGUCCAUAAAAAGUUAUGUCUAAGUCAGUGGUAAGGUUUUUCAUUACUUAAGUGGCCUUUCCAAAAUGUAUUAACUCAUCUUUGUAAAUGUACCUUCUGAAAACCAGAAGAUUGGAGAUUGACUUUUUUUGGUCUCCUUGCAUGUUGCCAAAGUUGUGGUUACCCCAGUAAACUACCUGUUGCAUUAAAAGCGUAUGUAUG